UUCAGUUAACAACAUAAACUGAACGAUACAAUUCAGAAAAAUACGCAGCAGAGCUCUUAUUUCCCAACACUUAGAAUGUAUACGAAAAUGAAAACAACAUCUAAUACAAACCAAUAUAUCGAAAAAUAUGCACACAUACAUAUAUACAUGAAUACGUGCACGCAGUGCGCGUUUGAAGCGAAACGGGAAAUUUGAGUAGCCACCCAACCCAUUUUCUUCUAACCGAAACGCGAACAUACGUGAACCCGAAACGAUUAGAUGAGGUAAAAAUAAGUAAUCAUGUCAUUUCCAUAAAUACAAAAGAACAGCAACAAACCAGGCAAAAAUACAUGAGCUUUUUGUGUAUAUGUUUAUAUGCAUGUAUGUAUAUUCAUGCUGAUACUUUGUUGAUGUGUAUUUCAAGAA